ACAUGCAAGUCGAACGAGUUCUGAUUAUUGAAAGGUGCUUGCAUCUUGAUUUAAUUUUGAACGAGUGGCGGACGGGUGAGUAACACGUGGGUAACCUGCCCUUAAGUGGGGGAUAACAUUUGGAAACAGAUGCUAAUACCGCAUAAAUCCAAGAACCGCAUGGUUCUUGGCUGAAAGAUGGCGUAAGCUAUCGCUUUUGGAUGGACCCGCGGCGUAUUAGCUAGUUGGUGAGGUAACGGCUCACCAAGGCAAUGAUACGUAGCCGAACUGAGAGGUUGAUCGGCCACAUUGGGACUGAGACACGGCCCAAACUCCUACGGGAGGCAGCAGUAGGGAAUCUUCCACAAUGGACGCAAGUCUGAUGGAGCAACGCCGCGUGAGUGAAGAAGGCUUUCGGGUCGUAAAACUCUGUUGUUGGAGAAGAAUGGUCGGCAGAGUAACUGUUGUCGGCGUGACGGUAUCCAACCAGAAAGCCACGGCUAACUACGUGCCAGCAGCCGCGGUAAUACGUAGGUGGCAAGCGUUAUCCGGAUUUAUUGGGCGUAAAGCGAGCGCAGGCGGUUUUUUAAGUCUGAUGUGAAAGCCCUCGGCUUAACCGAGGAAGUGCAUCGGAAACUGGGAAACUUGAGUGCAGAAGAGGACAGUGGAACUCCAUGUGUAGCGGUGAAAUGCGUAGAUAUAUGGAAGAACACCAGUGGCGAAGGCGGCUGUCUGGUCUGUAACUGACGCUGAGGCUCGAAAGCAUGGGUAGCGAACAGGAUUAGAUACCCUGGUAGUCCAUGCCGUAAACGAUGAAUGCUAGGUGUUGGAGGGUUUCCGCCCUUCAGUGCCGCAGCUAACGCAUUAAGCAUUCCGCCUGGGGAGUACGACCGCAAGGUUGAAACUCAAAGGAAUUGACGGGGGCCCGCACAAGCGGUGGAGCAUGUGGUUUAAUUCGAAGCAACGCGAAGAACCUUACCAGGUCUUGACAUCUUUUGAUCACCUGAGAGAUCAGGUUUCCCCUUCGGGGGCAAAAUGACAGGUGGUGCAUGGUUGUCGUCAGCUCGUGUCGUGAGAUGUUGGGUUAAGUCCCGCAACGAGCGCAACCCUUAUGACUAGUUGCCAGCAUUUAGUUGGGCACUCUAGUAAGACUGCCGGUGACAAACCGGAGGAAGGUGGGGAUGACGUCAAAUCAUCAUGCCCCUUAUGACCUGGGCUACACACGUGCUACAAUGGAUGGUACAACGAGUUGCGAGACCGCGAGGUCAAGCUAAUCUCUUAAAGCCAUUCUCAGUUCGGACUGUAGGCUGCAACUCGCCUACACGAAGUCGGAAUCGCUAGUAAUCGCGGAUCAGCACGCCGCGGUGAAUACGUUCCCGGGCCUUGUACACACCGCCCGUCACACCAUGAGAGUUUGUAACACCCGAAGCCGGUGGCGUAACCCUUUUAGGGAGCGAGCCG
rnacentral:rRNA from 1 species